rnacentral:rRNA from 1 species
AGAGUUUGAUCCUGGCUCAGGACGAACGCUGGCGGCGUGGAUUAGGCAUGCAAGUCGAACGCGAACGAAAACCUUCGGGUUUUUUAUUAGAGUGGCGAACGGGUGAGUAACGCGUAGGUGAUCUACCUUUAAGUGGGGGAUAGCCCCGGGAAACCGGGAUUAAUACCGCAUGUGACCGGCAUUGUCGGUUAAAGGAGGCCUCUGCUUUAAGCCUUUGCUUGAAGAUGAGCCUGCGUUCUAUUAGCUAGUUGGUGGGGUAAAGGCCUACCAAGGCGAUGAUAGAUAGGCGGCCUUAACGGGUGGUCGCCCACACUGGGAUUGAGAUACGGCCCAGACUCCUACGGGAGGCAGCAGUCGAGAAUAGUCUACAAUGGGGGAAACCCUGAUAGUGCGACGCCGCGUGGAUGAAGAAGCAUUUCGGUGUGUAAAAUCCUUUUCUGUAUGAGCAAGUCCCAUUAGGAAAAUAUCUUAUUGGGUUAGAUAUUAGUACAGGAAUAAGCCACGGCUAACUCCGUGCCAGCAGCCGCGGUAAUACGGAGGUGGCGAGCGUUGUCCGGAAUUACUAGGCGUAAAGGGUAAGUAGGCGGAUUUAUAAGUCAGAUGUUAAAGGCAUGGGCUCAACCGAUGUAUUGCAUUUGAUACUGUAAAUCUAGAGUAAGGGAGAGGAAGGCAGAAUUCCUGGUGUAGCGGUGGAAUGCGCAGAUAUCAGGAAGAAUACCGAUGGCGCAGGCAGCCUUCUAGACCAUUACUGACGCUCAAUUACGAAGGUGUGGGUAUCGAACAGGAUUAGAUACCCUGGUAGUCCACACAGUAAACGAUAUGCACUAGGUGUUGGGGGAGAGAAUCUUCAGUGCCGUAGUUAACGCGUUAAGUGCAUCGCCUGGGGAGUACGAUCGCAAGGUUUAAACUCAAAGGAAUUGACGGGGGCCCGCACAAGCGGUGGAGCAUGUGGCUUAAUUCGAUGCAACGCGAAGAACCUUACCUGGACUUGACAUCCCAAGGAUCAUUCAGAGAUGAAUGAGUGCCUUUCGGGGAACUUGGAGACAGGUGCUGCAUGGCUGUCGUCAGCUCGUGUCGUGAGAUGUUGGGUUAAGUCCCGCAACGAGCGCAACCCCUAUCUUUAGUUACCAUCAUUAAGUUGGGGACUCUAGAGAGACUGCCAGUGUAAUAAACUGGAGGAAGGUGGGGACGACGUCAAGUCAUCAUGGUCCUUAUGUCCAGGGCUACACACGUGCUACAAUGGUCGGGAUAAUGGGUCGCAAUACCGCGAGGUGGAGCCAAUCCCAAAAACCCGAUCUCAGUUCGGAUUGGAGUCUGCAACUCGACUCCAUGAAGUUGGAAUCGCUAGUAAUCGCGUAUCAGCAUGACGCGGUGAAUACGUUCCCGGGCCUUGUACACACCGCCCGUCAAGUCAGCCGAGUUGAUUGCACCCGAAGAAGGUGAGCUAACCGUAAGGAUGUAGCUUUCGAAGGUGUGGUUAGCGAGGGGGACUAAGUCGAAACAAGGUA